ACUCAAAUGAAUAGACGGGGACCCGCACAAGCGGUGGAGCGUGUUGUUUAAUUCGAUGGUAAGCGAAGAACCUUACCAGGGUUUGACAUCCCGAUAGCUUUUCUGUGAAAGCAGAAUUUCAUUUAGUUGGAUCGGUGACAGGUGUUGCAUGGCCGUCUUCAGCUCGUGUCGUGAGAUGUUGGGUUAAGUCCCGCAACGAGCGCAACCCUUAUGUUUAGUUGGAUUUUUCUAAACAGACUGCCUCGGUAACGGGGAGGAAGGAGGGGAUGAUGUCAGGUCAGUAUUACCCUUACACCCUGGGCUACAAACACGCUACAAUGGCCGGUACAAAGGGCAGCCAACCCGCGAGGGGGAGCAAAUCCCAUCAAAGCCGGUCUCAGUUCGGAUAGCAGGCUGAAACUCGCCUGCUUGAAGCUGGAAUCGCUAGUAACGGUAAGUCAGCACAUUACCGUGAAUACGUUCCCGGGUCUUGUACACACCGCCCGU
rnacentral:rRNA from 1 species